UUAAGCGACUAAGCGUACACGGUGGAUGCCCUGGCAGUCAGAGGCGAUGAAGGACGUGCUAAUCUGCGAAAAGCGUCGGUAAGGUGAUAUGAACCGUUAUAACCGGCGAUGUCCGAAUGGGGAAACCCAGUGCAAUUCGUUGCACUAUCGUUAACUGAAUACAUAGGUUAACGAGGCGAACCGGGGGAACUGAAACAUCUAAGUACCCCGAGGAAAAGAAAUCAACCGAGAUUCCCCCAGUAGCGGCGAGCGAACGGGGAGCAGCCCAGAGUCUGAAUCAGCUUGUGUGUUAGUGGAACGGUCUGGAAAGUCCGACGGUACAGGGUGAUAGUCCCGUACACCAAAAUGCACAGGCUGUGAACUCGAAGAGUAGGGCGGGACACGUGGUAUCCUGUCUGAAUAUGGGGGGACCAUCCUCCAAGGCUAAAUACUCCUGACUGACCGAUAGUGAACCAGUACCGUGAGGGAAAGGCGAAAAGAACCCCGGCGAGGGGAGUGAAAAAGAACCUGAAACCGUGUACGUACAAGCAGUGGGAGCACCUUCGGGUGUGACUGCGUACCUUUUGUAUAAUGGGUCAGCGACUUAUAUUCUGUAGCAAGGUUAACCGUAUAGGGGAGCCGCAGGGAAACCGAGUCUUAACUGGGCGUUAAGUUGCAGGGUAUAGACCCGAAACCCGGUGAUCUAGCCAUGGGCAGGUUGAAGGUUGGGUAACACUAACUGGAGGACCGAACCGACUAAUGUUGAAAAAUUAGCGGAUGACUUGUGGCUGGGGGUGAAAGGCCAAUCAAACCGGGAGAUAGCUGGUUCUCCCCGAAAGCUAUUUAGGUAGCGCCUCGUGAACUCAUCUUCGGGGGUAGAGCACUGUUUCGGCUAGGGGGUCAUCCCGACUUACCAACCCGAUGCAAACUACGAAUACCGAAGAAUGUUAUCACGGGAGACACACGGCGGGUGCUAACGUCCGUCGUGAAGAGGGAAACAACCCAGACCGCCAGCUAAGGUCCCAAAGUCAUGGUUAAGUGGGAAACGAUGUGGGAAGGCACAGACAGCCAGGAUGUUGGCUUAGAAGCAGCCAUCAUUUAAAGAAAGCGUAAUAGCUCACUGGUCGAGUCGGCCUGCGCGGAAGAUGUAACGGGGCUAAACCAUGCACCGAAGCUGCGGCAGCGACACUAUGUGUUGUUGGGUAGGGGAGCGUUCUGUAAGCCUGCGAAGGUGUGCUGUGAGGCAUGCUGGAGGUAUCAGAAGUGCGAAUGCUGACAUAAGUAACGAUAAAGCGGGUGAAAAGCCCGCUCGCCGGAAGACCAAGGGUUCCUGUCCAACGUUAAUCGGGGCAGGGUGAGUCGACCCCUAAGGCGAGGCCGAAAGGCGUAGUCGAUGGGAAACAGGUUAAUAUUCCUGUACUUGGUGUUACUGCGAAGGGGGGACGGAGAAGGCUAUGUUAGCCGGGCGACGGUUGUCCCGGUUUAAGCAUGUAGGCUGGUUGUCCAGGCAAAUCCGGAUAAUCAAGGCUGAGGUGUGAUGACGAGGCACUACGGUGCUGAAGUAACAAAUGCCCUGCUUCCAGGAAAAGCCUCUAAGCAUCAGGUAACAUCAAAUCGUACCCCAAACCGACACAGGUGGUCAGGUAGAGAAUACCAAGGCGCUUGAGAGAACUCGGGUGAAGGAACUAGGCAAAAUGGUGCCGUAACUUCGGGAGAAGGCACGCUGGUGUGUAGGUGAAGUCCCUGCGGAUGGAGCUGAGACCAGUCGAAGAUACCAGCUGGCUGCAACUGUUUAUUAAAAACACAGCACUGUGCAAACACGAAAGUGGACGUAUACGGUGUGACGCCUGCCCGGUGCCGGAAGGUUAAUUGAUGGGGUUAUCCGUAAGGAGAAGCUCUUGAUCGAAGCCCCGGUAAACGGCGGCCGUAACUAUAACGGUCCUAAGGUAGCGAAAUUCCUUGUCGGGUAAGUUCCGACCUGCACGAAUGGCGUAAUGAUGGCCAGGCUGUCUCCACCCGAGACUCAGUGAAAUUGAACUCGCUGUGAAGAUGCAGUGUACCCGCGGCAAGACGGAAAGACCCCGUGAACCUUUACUAUAGCUUGACACUGAACAUUGAGCCUUGAUGUGUAGGAUAGGUGGGAGGCUUUGAAGCGUGGACGCCAGUCUGCGUGGAGCCAACCUUGAAAUACCACCCUUUAAUGUUUGAUGUUCUAACGUUGGCCCCUUACCGGGGUUGCGGACAGUGUCUGGUGGGUAGUUUGACUGGGGCGGUCUCCUCCCAAAGCGUAACGGAGGAGCACGAAGGUUAGCUAAUCCUGGUCGGACAUCAGGAGGUUAGUGCAAUGGCAUAAGCUAGCUUGACUGCGAGCGUGACGGCGCGAGCAGGUGCGAAAGCAGGUCAUAGUGAUCCGGUGGUUCUGAAUGGAAGGGCCAUCGCUCAACGGAUAAAAGGUACUCCGGGGAUAACAGGCUGAUACCGCCCAAGAGUUCAUAUCGACGGCGGUGUUUGGCACCUCGAUGUCGGCUCAUCACAUCCUGGGGCUGAAGUAGGUCCCAAGGGUAUGGCUGUUCGCCAUUUAAAGUGGUACGCGAGCUGGGUUUAGAACGUCGUGAGACAGUUCGGUCCCUAUCUGCCGUGGGCGCUGGAGAAUUGAGGGGGGCUGCUCCUAGUACGAGAGGACCGGAGUGGACGCAUCACUGGUGUUCGGGUUGUCAUGCCAAUGGCACUGCCCGGUAGCUAAAUGCGGAAGAGAUAAGUGCUGAAAGCAUCUAAGCACGAAACUUGCCCCGAGAUGAGUUCUCCCUGAGACUAUAAGUCUCCUGAAGGAACGUUAAAGACGAUGACGUUGAUAGGCCGGGUGUGUAAGCGCAGCGAUGCGUUGAGCUAACCGGUACUAAUGAACCGUGAGGCUUAACCUU
rnacentral:rRNA from 1 species